CCUGACAUCAGUGCGCAGAGGGCGUGCCUUGGGCAUACGGGAGGACAUGAGUGUAACGCACUGUAGUGUGAACUCCAACUCUUCCCACCCAGGGUUCUCCCCCCGUGGGGCCCCCUUGUGUGCUCCUGAGGAUGUCCUGGGACUCGGUCCUGAUUUGCCCCAGCUCUCAGCUCCCUCUGCAGCAGGACUGGGUGCAGGGGCGGUGGGCAUGAUGCGGCGGGGCACCAGCCUGCAGAGCCGCCGCAGUAAGGCCUGCAUCAGCUCUGGGAAUGGAGACAAGGAUCCACUGCUAAGAGGAAGUCCCCAGGCUCCCAUGAGGCGGCACACCCACGACCCUCAGCACCAUGUGAGCAGGCCCAGGUCCUCCUCUGCCAACACCGAGAGCGCCCCUGCAGUCCAGCACCCGCCACUGCCACCUAUGAUGUGCUGCUGUCGUCAGGAUAUCAGUCCACAGAGGAGUCAGACCGGGAUGUCCUGAGUCACGACUGAGACUGGAGUGACAGAAGCUCCUGGAAGCCACACGGAGCAGGACAGGACCUUGGGGCCCUGACUGACUCAGUGACGGGAGGAAUCUCUGUCAUGCAUUUACUUUAGAACCAGCCAAACCUGUGAUCCUUUAAUAACAAUAAACCACGUGACCAUAUCAGGAAAGUCCCUUAAGCCAUAUUUGAUGUUGUUUUGAACAGUACAUGCUAU
rnacentral:lncRNA from 1 species